AGCGGAGGAAAAGAAACUAACAAGGAUUCCCCUAGUAACGGCGAGCGAAGCGGGAAGAGCUCAAAUUUGAAAGCUGGCACCUCCGGUGUCCGCGUUGUAAUCUCGAGACGUGUUUUCCGUGCGGCUCUAUGGACAAGUCCCUUGGAAUAGGGCAUCGUAGAGGGUGAGAAUCCUGUACUUGCCAUGGAAGUACCGUGCUUUGUGAUACACGCUCCAAGAGUCGAGUAGUUUGGGAUUGCUGCUCAAAGUGGGUGGUAGACUCCAUCUAAAGCUAAAUAUCGGGGAGAGACCGAUAGCGAACAAGUACCGUGAGGGAAAGAUGAAAAGCACUUUGGAAAGAGAGUUAAAAGUACGUGAAAUUGUCGAAAGGGAAGCACUUGAAGUCAGCCAUGCUGCUUGAGACUCAGCCUGGCCUUUGGGCUUGGUGUAUUUCUCGGUGGCAAGCCAGCAUUGGUUUGUGUCGUCGGAGAAGCGUAUGGGGAAUGUGGCAUCCUCGGAUGUGUUAUAGCCCUGUGCAGGAUACGACGACGUAGACCAAGGAACGCAGUGUGCCCUCUGGGCGGGUCUUCGGACACCUUCACACUUAGGAUGCUGGCGUAAUGGCUUUAAGUGGCCCGUCUUGAAACACGGACCAAGGAGUCUAACAUGUGUGCGAGUUUUUGGGUGGCAAACCCAUGAGCGUAAUGAAAGUGAAUACAGGUGGGAUCCGCAAGGAGCACCAUCGACCGGCCCUGAACUUCUGGGAUGGGUCUGAGUAAGAGCAUAUAUGUUGGGACCCGAAAGAUGGUGAACUAUGCCUGAAUAGGGCGAAGCCAGAGGAAACUCUGGUGGAGGCUCGCAGCGGUUCUGACGUGCAAAUCGAUCGUCAAAUUUGGGUAUAGGGGCGAAAGACUAAUCGAACCUUCUAGUA
rnacentral:rRNA from 1 species